GACGAACGCUGGCGGCAUGCCUAACACAUGCAAGUCGAGCGAGUAGAUCCCUUCGGGGUGAAGCUAGCGGCGGACGGGUGAGUAACACGUGGGCAACCUGCCUCAUAGAGGGGAAUAGCCUUCCGAAAGGAAGAUUAAUACCGCAUAAGAUUGUAGCUUCGCAUGAAGCAGCAAUUAAAGGAGCAAUCCGCUAUGAGAUGGGCCCGCGGCGCAUUAGCUAGUUGGUGAGGUAACGGCUCACCAAGGCGACGACGCGUAGCCGACCUGGGAGGGUGAUCGGCCACAUUGGGACUGAGACACGGCCCAGACUCCUACGGGAGGCAGCAGUGGGGAAUAUUGCACAAUGGGGGAAACCCUGAUGCAGCAAUGCCGCGUGAGUGAUGACGGCCUUCGGGUUGUAAAGCUCUGUCUUCGGGGACGAUAAUGACGGUACCCGAGGAGGAAGCCACGGCUAACUACGUGCCAGCAGCCGCGGUAA
rnacentral:rRNA from 1 species